CAUUUGGCAACGUGUUUGAGUGUUUUUAUCCUAUUAUAAAAAGGAGAUAAUUUAUAAUCGUGAAACAUCAUGACAUCUCCACCUAUUAAAUAUACGACCAACAGAGCCAUUGAUCAUUUCAAUGUUGCAGCUACACUCAUGAAAAUCAUCGGCUACGUCGACUGCAUUGAAGGCCUGAGAGAGUUGCCAAAGUCUCCAUCUAAGUGGAUUUACAAGUGCAUUUUAAAUAACAAUGAUGGCAGAAGGGUUCGCAUACUUUGCUCGGGGGAUGAUGCUCUCAAAUACAAGGAUGAGAUCAAGAUGUAUCAGAUAAUAAAAAUCACUGGAGGGAUUAUUAAAGCGGCCAAUCCACAGUAUCGGCGAUCAACGGACACUGUGAGCGACAAAGAAUUUCAAUUUGCACGUAGGAGCACUUUCGACAUCUUUGGCACAUUUAACAUUACGAAUGGAGCUGACAAUGGAAGGUCGAAGGUCAUCUCAUAUAAAAAAUUGAGAUGGAGAACGUUUGUGCUGCUCGCGGGCCAGUCCAGAUCACUGGAUGGCUCAAAGAGCCAUUCAGAAGCAUUACCACGUCCUGACUGAGGAUGUAGCCCUCAAUGAAGAUGAGUUGGAUGAUGCUGUCGAAGCACCUCCUCUCAUUCUCAAACGAGGGGCAGCUGAAUCUGCAUCUGGAGAGGCGAUGGACGUCGCGAAUAAGAAACUGAAAGCUGAAUAGCUUUAAUGACGUGCUAUUUACUCUGGAAGUUCAAUUGCAAAAUUGAAAAUUUUUUCUAUAACAAGUUCUAGACUGUUAUUUUUUCACACAAAAAUUGAGUUCUAUAACAAGUUUAACACUGUUAUUUUUUUACGCAAAAAUUUAAUUCUAUAACAAGUUUAAUACUGUUAUUUUUUUACACAAAAAUGAAACAUUGACAAGCUUGAGCUCUUUAAGAAUCUGAUUUUUUACUUUUAAAGACUGCCAACUUCAUAGCAGUAAGGUUAAUACUCAUUUAGCUUUAACAACCAAAACAGAUGGAAUUAUAAUAAUCUAUUCAUGAACAUUAGUAUUUAUUCAGAAUUUAUUUCAAUAUAUGGCCCUGUUUUUGAAGAAAAAGUAUUACUAAACAUUUGUAUUUUUUAUAUAUAACAGAGAAAACUGAAGACUAAUUAAUUUUAUGAUUAAAGUAGAUAAAGCUCUCCGGAAUCACAGAUAAGUGAUACAAAGGAUGUAUUCAUGUUAAUGUUUGUUCAUAUUUCUUAACAUAUGUUGUAAUGUCAAUUAUAAUUGUUGGAACAU